rnacentral:rRNA from 1 species
GGACCCGCACAAGCAGUGGAGCAUGUGGUUUAAUUCGAAGAUACGCGCAGAACCUUACCAACACUUGACAUGUUCGUCGCGAGACCAAGAGAUUGGUUUCUUCAUUUAGUUGGACGAAACACAGGUGCUGCAUGGCUGUCGUCAGCUCGUGUCGUGAGAUGUUGGGUUAAGUCCCGCAACGAGCGCAACCCCCUACUUUUAGUUGCCACCAUUUAGUUGGGCACUUUAAAAGAACUGCCAGUGAUAAGCUGGAGGAAGGUGGGGAUGACGUCAAGUCCUCAUGGCCCUUACGUGUUGGGCUACACACGUGCUACAAUGGCACUUACAAUGGGAUGCAAAGAGGUGACUCUAAGCUAAUCCCUAAAAUGUGUCUCAGUUCGGAUUGUACUCUGUAACUCGAGUGCAUGAAGCUGGAAUUGCUAGUAAUCG